rnacentral:rRNA from 1 species
UACGUAGGGGGCAAGCGUUGUCCGGAAUCAUUGGGCGUAAAGCGCGUGUAGGCGGCUCGGUAAGUCCGCUCUGAAAGUCCAGGGCUCAACCCUGGGAUGCGGGUGGAUACUGUCGAGCUAGAGUCCGGAAGAGGCGAGUGGAAUUCCUGGUGUAGCGGUGAAAUGCGCAGAUAUCAGGAGGAACACCAAUGGCGAAGGCAGCUCGCUGGGACGUGACUGACGCUGAGACGCGAAAGCGUGGGGAGCAAACAGG